GGGAGAGCCAUUUUCUGAUGAUCCACACCUGUUAACAUUAAAAUGUUAAUUGAAUGCAGGCCCCAGAGAGAAGCAGCUUCCUGGGCAUACAUAUUAAGAGACAAAAAUGAUGAAGUAUGAUCUUCCCAGAUCACUCCUCUGGAAAAAGGAAGAAAACCUCAGAUGGGCAUGCAUACAAAGCCCAAACACACUGCAUGUGCUGAAUUCCCAAAGGUUGCAGUGGAAUGGUCCAAUCACAGCUUACUGCAGCCUCAACCUCCUAGACUCAAGCAAUCCUUCCACCCCAGCCUCCUGAGGAGCUGAGAUCACAAGUGUGUGCCAUUACAUUUUUACAUUGUUUUCUAUGGAAGAAGAUUGCUCACAAUAAUAAUAGCUAUAGCAGAAGCCUCAGCAGCAAAUAUUUUCUGUUCAAAAGGAUUGGCUGCCUCCAUCCCUCCUGCCCAGGUGAGACCAGAAGUGUGGAUGAGUAGAGCAUUCCAUUUGCCUGUCCUUUAACUAGCAUUUUAUUCUGCAUAGACAUUUUUAGUAUUUUGCAAUUAUUGAAACAUGGCAAAUGUAUCUGAUCCCUGAGCCCUCUUCUUCUCAGCCUUACUAGCCCUUAAUAUUUCCUUAAAAAAUAUUCUUUUUCAGGUAUUUGAAGUCUUUCCCUUCUGAUCUCUCUGAGUCCUUGCUCCAUUGGGUGGGAAUUUUCAGCCCAGGAAAGUAAAUGGCAUGAAUAUUAUAAUGGCCUUCUAGAGUCUGGAAGCCCAGGUCAGCAGUGGGAAGUAUCUAGAGAGAAGCUUUAUUUGUCUGUCCAACUUUCUCUGCAUCCACUCCAUUUCCAGUUUCAGGAAGGAAACUGUGGACAAUGUGGAAUGUUACAUAUGUGACCAGAAGAUAAAUUUACAGUAAUGUUUGGGUUUCUACCCCUUCCUCACUCUUUCCCUACCUCCAGGUAAGCAAUCCUAAGGGAUGCUUUUCUAAAGUACCCAGUGGAUUCCCCAGAGUUUGCAAGGUACUUAACUGCAGGUGUGUGUGUGUGUGUGUGUGUGUGUGUAUGUGUGUGUGUCUGUACAGGGCUACUCUGUGCACUACAUCACUAGGUACGCUGAUUUUGGGCUUUUGAAAUCAUUGUACCCAGCAGAGCCUUAUCUCCUUAGAGCCACCUCAUCUUAAGGCUGAGCAGCUGAUGGACCAGCUAAAAUGUCAUACUUUGCCAUCUUUAGUUUGACAAACACUAGCUUUUUGUUUUGUUAUUUUCAUAGGGACUUUGUUUUUUUGCCUUCAAUAACUUAUUUAUCACAGUCUGUUGAUCCAUAGCCAAUAAUUUGCUUGUUCCCCAAAGGGUAAAUAAACAUUAAAGGUUAAAGUAAGGGCUGUAAGUUUGACUGGCUAUAGGUAAUCAUUGGUCAGGUAAGUGCAGCUUCAAGUCUAAUUAGGUAGUACCUAGGCUACGUACACCUUCCUAGGUACACCACUAGAACAACUGUAUAGAAUACAGAGAUAGAUGAAUAUCAGCCAAUUACCCCCUGGUUGAGUGGUGGUUGUAGGCUGUGAUUAUAGGCAAUACAAAUGAUGUUAAAACUGCUUCUCCAUAAGGUCUCUGCUGAUUCUCUUAACCUCUCCAUUUUCUAGAAUAUAUAUUCAGCACUAAAUGGGAGUAUGUCUAUACUACAUAUUGGAUGUGCAGUUGUAUUCCAAACUGAAAGCUGAAUUUUCCUUUGCCAACAAACAAAUCACUACUGUCUCCAGAUUGCACUACCAGCAUGCCCCAACUGUGAAAUGAUUUAAGUGGUGAUGGUUUAACUACACAGCCCUCAUUUACUCAGUUUUACAUAUGUCUGUUUUGCCUUCCUAGACAAACAAAACUUCUACUUUCCUGUUCCCAUUGUCUAGAGUGGGGCAUACCCCCUGCCCUUAAUAAAUGAUUCUUGAACAAUGGUAUGUUUUUAAGUUGCUAUAUGUACA
ensembl:lncRNA